AGGUCCAUGACCUUAUGGU
rnacentral:miRNA from 1 species